GGGUCAGUAGGUUGGUCGUGCCACCGGUACGUACUGGUCUCACUGAUUCCUCCUUCCUGAAGAACCGUAAUGCCAUUAAUUUGGUGUUGCGGGGAAACAGGACUGUUACUUUGAAAAAAUUAGAGUGUUUAAAGCAAGCUAACGCUUGAAUACAUUAGCAUGGAAUAAUGAAAUAGGACGAUCGAUCCUAUUUUGUUGGUUCCUAGGGUUGACGUA
rnacentral:rRNA from 1 species